rnacentral:lncRNA from 1 species
GGGUCUUAGCUCUUCAUGUUGAUAGUUGUUGCGUUAUACAUCUUCAGGUUCUGCUGGGACUGCUGGGAGUCAUGGAGAUGGAGAUGCUACCUGCUGUUGAAAUCUGUGAUGCUGAAGGAAUCUGUGAUGUUGAACUCUUGUUUUUUAUCUUUUUAUUAAAGACUUGUAUUGCCCUUAUGUGAACUGUCAGUGAUCGUGUGCUAUGGUGCUACCAGCUGAACUUUUUUUUAAUCUUUUUAAAGACUUGAUGCUGAAGGAAUCUGUGAUGUUGAACUCUUGUUUUUUAUCUUUUUAUUAAAGACUUGUAUUGCCCUUAUGUGAACUGUCAGUGAUCGUGUGCUAUGGUGCUACCAGCUGAACUUUUUUUUAAUCUUUUUAAAGACUUGAAUUCUGCCUUUGUAUCUUUUUCAGCAAAGUUGUGAACUAUGUUGCUUUAGUACUUGGAUGUAUUGGUCUCUGAAUGCCUGAAUGUUGAAUUACCUAGUUGAUGUUUUAUUCCGUUAAGCAGAUGAUAACUUAUGCUUCCUACGUGUGCUGAUAAAACCAUGUUGAUAAAUAGAUGUGAAUGCUUCAACAAGAUUUGACCGAAGCAUUGUUGGGUGUUUAGUACGUAAGAUUCAAGAUCUCAUGCAAAUUGAGUUCUCAUCUUGUAAUGUUGUUAACUGCAAUAGACUUUGUAAUAAGGUUGUUGGUUGCUUAGCAACCUAUGGAGCAUUUUUGUUGGCCUCUGGCUCUGAUGUGUAUUGGUGCCAAGCCCCAGAGUUUGUAACAGAACUCAUUAGUGGCGAUUUGCCUGGAUGUCAUGCCUAAUGCAGUUGUGUUUGAUACGUAGAUAAUAAAACCCGAAGUCAUCAUCUGCUCAACGGGAUCAUAAAACCAGUUUUAUCCUCUACGUUUUAGCAUCUCAUGGCUAGAUAAUAAAUCCGAAGUCCUCAUCUGCUCCACGUGAUAAUAAAAAUGGUUUUAGCGACUUAGUUUUAGCAUUUCACACUUGG